rnacentral:tRNA from 1 species
GCGGGAGUAGUACAAUGGUAGUGCGCGAGCCUUCCAAGCUUGAUACGCGGGUUCGAUCCCCGUCUCCCGCUCCA